GACGAACGCUGGCGGCGUGCUUAACACAUGCAAGUCGAACGGAAAGGCCCUGCUUUUGUGGGGUGCUCGAGUGGCGAACGGGUGAGUAACACGUGAGUAACCUGCCCUUGACUUUGGGAUAACUUCAGGAAACUGGGGCUAAUACCGGAUAGGAGCUCCUGCUGCAUGGUGGGGGUUGGAAAGUUUCGGCGGUUGGGGAUGGACUCGCGGCUUAUCAGCUUGUUGGUGGGGUAGUGGCUUACCAAGGCUUUGACGGGUAGCCGGCCUGAGAGGGUGACCGGCCACAUUGGGACUGAGAUCCGGCCCAGACUCCUACGGGAGGAAGCAGGGGGGAAUAUUGCACAAUGGGCGGAAGCCUGAUGCAGCAACGCCGCGUGCGGGAUGACGGCCUUCGGGUUGUAAACCGCUUUCGCCUGUGACGAAGCGUGAGUGACGGUAAGGGGUAAAGAAGCACCGGCUAACUACG
rnacentral:rRNA from 1 species